rnacentral:rRNA from 1 species
GAAGAACGCUGGCGGCGUGCCUAAUACAUGCAAGUCGAGCGAAUGGAUUAAGAGCUUGCUCUUAUGAAGUUAGCGGCGGACGGGUGAGUAACACGUGGGUAACCUGCCCAUAAGACUGGGAUAACUCCGGGAAACCGGGACUAAUACCGGAUAACAUUUUGAACCGCAUGGUUCGAAAUUGAAAGGCGGCUUCGGCUGUCACUUAUGGAUGGACCCGCGUCGCAUUAGCUAGUUGGUGAGGUAACGGCUCACCAAGGCAACGAUGCGUAGCCGGCCUGAGAGGGUGAUCGGCCACGCUGGGACUGAGACACGGGCCAGACUCCUACGGGAGGCAGCAGUAGGGAAUCUUGCGCAAUGGACGAAAGUCUGACGGAGCAACGCCGCGUGAGUGAUGAAGGCUUUCGGGUCGUAAAACUCUGUUGUUAGGGAAGAACAAGUGCUAGUUGAAUAAGCUGGCACCUUGACGGUACCUAACCAGAAAGCCACGGCUAACUACGUGCCAGCCGCCGCAGUAA